rnacentral:rRNA from 1 species
AACGAAGGCUGGCGGCAUGCCUAACACAUGCAAGUCGAACGAGAUCUUCGGGUCUAGUGGCGCACGGGUGCGUAACGCGUGGGAAUCUGCCCUUUGGUUCGGAAUAACAGUUGGAAACGACUGCUAAUACCGGAUGAUGACGAAAGUCCAAAGAUUUAUCGCCAGAGGAUGAGCCCGCGUAGGAUUAGCUAGUUGGUGUGGUAAAGGAGCACCAAGGCGACGAUCCUUAGCUGGUCUGAGAGGAUGAUCAGCCACACUGGGACUGAGACACGGCCCAGACUCCUACGGGAGGCAGCAGUGGGGAAUAUUGGACAAUGGGCGAAAGCCUGAUCCAGCAAUGCCGCGUGAGUGAUGAAGGCCUUAGGGUUGCAAAGCUCUUUUACCCGGGAUGAUAAUGACAGUACCGGGAGAAUAAGCUCCGGCUAACUCCGUGCCAGCAGCCACAGUAA